AGUGAACGCUGGCGGUAGGCCUAACACAUGCAAGUCGAACGGCAGCACAGUAAGAGCUUGCUCUUACGGGUGGCGAGUGGCGGACGGGUGAGGAAUACCUCGGCAUCUACUUUUUCGUGGGGGAUAACGAAGGGAGAUUUACGCUAAUACCGCAUACGACCUACGGGUGAAAGCAGGGGAUCUUCGGCCCUUGCGCGAUUGAAUGAGCCGAUGGCGGAUUAACUAGUUGGCGGGGUAAAGGCCCACCAAGGCGACGAUCCGUAGCUGGUCUGAGAGGAGGAUGAGCGACAGUGAAAGUGAGACACGAUCCAGGCUCCGACGGGAGGCAGAGGUGGGGAAUAGUGGACGAUGUGCGCAAGCCUGAACCAGCCAUGCCGCGUGGGUGAAGAAGGCCUGCGGGUUGUAAAGCCCUUUUGUUGGGAAAGAAAAGCAGCAGGUUAAUACCCCGCUGUUCUGACGGUACCCAAAGAAUAAGCACCGGCUAACUUCGU
rnacentral:rRNA from 1 species